GCUGAGGCUGGAUGGCACUGGGAUCGAGGGGAAUUAGGGUUUGGGUCAAAAUUAGGCUGGGGGGCUGUUAAAUAGGGAAUGGGGGAUAGGUUUAGAGGGUUUUUGCACCGAUUCAAACCGCAGAAUCGCGAUAGCACGGCCCCAGUCGCGGGCUUAGGCUAGGUGGCUUAGUGGCUGUGUAGAGGGGUCCAGCAACGAGAUUUAAAACACCAAAAAAAAUGUCCAAAAAUAAAC
rnacentral:lncRNA from 1 species